rnacentral:rRNA from 1 species
GUUUGAUCCUGGCUCAGGAUGAACGCUGGCGGUAUGCUUAACACAUGCAAGUCGAACGGGACCUUUCGGGGUCCAGUGGCGGACGGGUGAGUAACGCGUGAGAAUCUAGCUUCAGGUUGGGGACAACCACUGGAAACGGUGGCUAAUACCGAAUAAGCCGAAAGGUGAAAGAUUAAUUGCCUGGAGAUGAGCUCGCGUCUGAUUAGCUAGUUGGUAGGGUAAAGGCCUACCAAGGCAUCGAUCAGUAGCUGGUCUGAGAGGACGAUCAGCCACACUGGGACUGAGACACGGCCCAGACUCCUACGGGAGGCAGCAGUGGGGAAUUUUCCGCAAUGGGCGAAAGCCUGACGGAGCAAUACCGCGUGAGGGAGGAAGGCUCUUGGGUCGUAAACCUCUUUUCUCAGGGAAGAACAAAAUGACGGUACCUGAGGAAUAAGCAUCGGCUAACUCCGUGCCAGCAGCCGCGGUAAUACGGAGGAUGCAAGCGUUAUCCGGAAUGAUUGGGCGUAAAGCGUCCGCAGGUGGCAGUGUAAGUCUGCUGUCAAAGGUCAGGGCUUAACUCUGAACAGGCAGUGGAAACUACGCAGCUAGAGUGCGGUGGGGGCAGAGGGAAUUCCCAGUGUAGCGGUGAAAUGCGUAGAUAUUGGGAAGAACACCAGCGGCGAAAGCGUGUGACUGGGUCUGCACUGACACUGAGGGACGAAAGCUAGGGGAGCGAAAGGGAUUAGAUACCCCUGUAGUCCUAGCCGUAAACGAUGACAACUAGGUGUGGUUCGUAUCGACCCGAGCCGUGCCGUAGCCAACGCGUUAAAGUUGUCCGCCUGGGGAGUACGCACGCAAGUGUGAAACUCAAAGGAAUUGACGGGGGCCCGCACAAGCGGUGGAGUAUGUGGUUUAAUUCGAUGCAACGCGAAGAACCUCACCAAGGCUUGACAUCCUCGGAAUCUUCUUGAAAGGGAAGAGUGCCUUC